rnacentral:rRNA from 1 species
AUGCCGAACCUCGAGUGCCGGAUGUACGAGCCGCGGUUCCCGGAGGUGGACGCCGCGGUGAUGAUCCAGGUCAAGCACAUCGCCGACAUGGGCGCCUACGUCUCCCUCCUCGAGUACAACAACGUCGAGGGCAUGAUCCUCUUCUCCGAGCUCUCCCGCCGUCGCAUCCGCUCCAUCUCCUCGCUCAUCAAGGUCGGCCGCCAGGAGCCCGCCAUCGUGCUCCGUGUCGACCGCGACAAGGGAUACAUCGACCUCUCCAAGCGCCGGGUCUCCGAGGAGGAGGCGCGGUCCUGCGAGGACAGGUACAACAAGUCCAAGCUCGUGCACUCCAUCAUGCGCCACGUUGCAGAGACCCUCGAGAUCGACCUCGAGCCCAUCUACCAGCGCAUCGGCUGGCCGCUCUACCGCAAGUACGGCCACGCCUUCGAGGCCUUCAAGCUCAUAGUCGCCGACCCCGACGCCAUCCUCGAUGUGCUCACCUACGAGGAGAAGGAGACUGGCCCUGACUGCCAAGAGGUGACUAAGGUGGUGCCUGCUGUCACCCCUGAGAUUAAGGAGACCCUGGUCCAGAAUAUACGGAGGAGAAUGACACCGCAGCCACUCAAGAUCCGUGCUGACGUCGAGAUGAAAUGUUUCCAAUUUGAUGGGGUGCUCCAUAUUAAGCAAGCCAUGAGGAAAGCUGAAGCUGCUGGGAACACUAAUUGUCCUGUGAAGAUUAAGCUGGUUGCUCCUCCACUUUAUGUUCUGACUACACAAACUCUCGACAAGGACCAAGGCAUCUCAGUUCUCACUGAUGCAGUUAAAGCGUGCACAGCAGAGAUUGAAAAACACAAGGGAAAGUUGGUAGUGAAAGAAGCACCUAGAGCUGUGAGUGAGAGGGAAGAUAAGCUAUUGAACGCCCAGUUGGAUACCCUGGUUGAGCAAAACGCGGAGGUUGCUGGUGAUGAUGACAGUGAAGAUGAGGAAGAUACAGGAAUGGGCGAUAUCGACCUCACAAAUUCUGGCGUCCAUGCGGACUGA